rnacentral:piRNA from 1 species
UGGUGAUGAUUUCUAUGUACUACCCAUGGU